ensembl:lncRNA novel transcript
GAAUCAUGAGAGGGCACCUGCCUUCCUUCUACAUCCUAGAUGAACUGGUCUGAGCACGUUCUUCUGUGAGGUUUAUAAUUGAGAUGUGUGGACACUAAGCUCAUAAAGAAUCAGGGCUAAGACUAUGAUGGGUCAUAUGCAAGCUGAUGCUGAGGAAGCCCACCAUAAGAACGGAGAAUGGAGCAUUCUGCAGAGAGCAGAGGCAGCUGUGGAUCCAGGAGACCAGGAGACCCAGGAGAUUUCCAGAAGCAUGAGAGUAACUGAACUUGAGAGUUCAUUAGAGAGAAGACUCCUACUGUUUAGAGAACAGAGAUUUCAAGGAAGGAUUAAGGCUGGCAUCCUGAUAGCAAAGGUGGAGACAAAGGAAAGCAUUCCAGAUAACUUUCAAAAGAAACUCAAACAUUCGGAAAUCAUUUUCACUACCAAGAAAGGAAGUUAAGAAAAAUAGUUAUUUCCAAGGUCUCCAGAAUCUGAAGCUCUGCUCCUGAGUUUAUAAAAUGU